ACAGAGGGUGCAAGCGUUAAUCGGAAUUACUGGGCGUAAAGCGUGCGUAGGUGGUUUAUUAAGUCAGGUGUGAAAUCCCCGGGCUCAACCUGGGAACUGCGCUUGAUACUGGUAAACUAGAGUUUAGUAGAGGGAAGUGGAAUUCCACGUGUAGCGGUGAAAUGCGUAGAUAUGUGGAGGAACACCAGUGGCGAAGGCGGCUUCCUGGACUAAAACUGACACUGAGGCACGAAAGCGUGGGUAGCAAACAGGAUUAGAUACCCUGGUAGUCCACGCCCUAAACGAUGGGUACUAGACGUCGGGAGGUUUAUCCUCCUGGUGUCGCAGCUAACGCAUUAAGUACCCCGCCUGGGGAGUACGGUCGCAAGAUUA
rnacentral:rRNA from 1 species